GAUGAACGCUAGCGGCGGGCUUAACACAUGCAAGUCGAGGGGUAUAGGUUUUCGGACCUAGAGACCGGCGCACGGGUGCGUAACGCGUAUGCAAUCUACCUUUCACAGAGGGAUAGCCCAGAGAAAUUUGGAUUAAUACCUCAUAGUAUAGCAGUUUCGCAUGAAACAACUAUUAAAGUUCCAACGGUGAAAGAUGAGCAUGCGUCCCAUUAGCUAGAUGGUAAGGUAACGGCUUACCAUGGCUACGAUGGGUAGGGGUCCUGAGAGGGAGACCCCCCACACUGGUACUGAGACACGGACCAGACUCCUACGGGAGGCAGCAGUGAGGAAUAUUGGUCAAUGGACGCAAGUCUGAACCAGCCAUGCCGCGUGCAGGAUGACGGUCCUAUGGAUUGUAAACUGCUUUUGUACGAGAAGAAACAACAUUACGUGUAAUGUCUUGACGGUAUCGUAAGAAUAAGGAUCGGCUAACUCCGUGCCAGCAGCCGCGGUAACAC
rnacentral:rRNA from 1 species